ACUGGUGAGUAACACGUGGGUGACAUACCUUUUAGUUGGGGAUAGCUAUUAGAAAUAGUAGGUAAUACCGAAUGUGACCGUACCUGUUAGAGGGGUACGAGGAAAGGAGCUAAGGCUUCGCUAAAAGAAUGGCUCGCGGCCCAUUAUGCUAGUUGGUGAGGUAACGGCCCACCAAGGCGAUGAUGGGUAUCCGGCCUGAGAGGGUGAACGGACACAUUGGGACUGAGAUACGGCCCAGACUUCUACGGGAGGCAGCAGUUAAGAAUAUUCCGCAAUGGACGCAAGUCUGACGGAGCGACGCCGCGUGGAUGAAGAAUGCCGAAAGGUUGUAAAAUCCUUUUAAGCCUGAUGAAUAAGCACAAUAGGGAAUGAUUGUGCGGUGACCGUAGGGCUUGAAUAAGCACCGGCUAAUUACGUGCCAGCAGCCGCGGUAACACGUAAGGUGCGAGCGUUGUUCGGAAUUAUUGGGCGUAAAGGGCAUGUAGGCGGAUAGGCAAGCUUGGUGUGAAAUGUUACAGCUUAACUGUGAGACAGCAUUGAGAACUGCCGAUCUUGAAUUACUGAAGGGUAACCAGAAUUCCACGUGUAGGGGUGAAAUCUGUAGAUAUGUGGAAGAAUACCAAUGGCGAAGGCAGGUUACCGGCAGAUAAUUGACGCUGAGGUGCGAAAGUGCGGGGAGCGAACAGGAUUAGAUACCCUGGUAGUCCGCACCGUAAACG
rnacentral:rRNA from 1 species